GAUGAACGCUAGCGGCAGGCCUAACACAUGCAAGUCGAGGGGUAGCAGGAUUAAGCUUGCUUAGUUGCUGACGACCGGCGCACAGGUGCGUAACGCGUAUGCAACCUACCUUAUACUGGGGUAUAGCCCGGAGAAAUUCGGAUUAAUCCCCCAUAGUACUAAUGAAUCGCAUGGUUUAUUAGUUAAAGCAUUGCGGUAUAAGAUGGGCAUGCGUCCUAUUAGCUAGAUGGUGAGGUAACGGCUCACCAUGGCUACGAUAGGUAGGGGGCCUGGGAGGGUGGUCCCCCACACUGGUACUGAGACACGGACCAGGCUCCUACGGGAGGCAGCAGUGAGGAAUAUUGGUCAAUGGGCGCAAGCCUGAACCAGCCAUGCCGCGUGCAGGAAGAAUGCCCCAUGGGUUGUAAACUGCUUUUAUUUGGGAAUAAACCUCUUUACGUGUAGAGAGCUGAAGGUACCAAAUGAAUAAGCACCGGCUAACUCCGUGCCAGCCGCCGCGGUAA
rnacentral:rRNA from 1 species